UACGGAGGGUGCAAGCGUUGUUCGGAUUUAUUGGGCGUAAAGCGCGUGUAGGCGGUUUCUUAAGUCUGAUGUGAAGGCCCUGGGCUCAACCCAGGAAGUGCAUUGGAUACUGGGAAACUUGAAUACGGGAGAGGGUAGUGGAAUUCCUAGUGUAGGAGUGAAAUCCGUAGAUAUUAGGAGGAACACCGGUGGCGAAGGCGGCUCACUGGCCCGGUACUGACGCUCAUGUGCGAAAGCGUGGGGAGCAAACAGG
rnacentral:rRNA from 1 species